rnacentral:rRNA from 1 species
CCUUUCGAAAAACGGGCCACACCCGUUCCCAUCCCGAACACGGAAGUUAAGCUUCUUAGCGCCGAUGGUAGUUGGGGGCUCUCCCCCUGCAAGAGUAGGACGUUGCCAGGC